rnacentral:rRNA from 1 species
AUUGAACGCUGGCGGCAGGCUUAACACAUGCAAGUCGAGCGGAGAUGAGGUGCUUGCACCUUAUCUUAGCGGCGGACGGGUGAGUAAUGCUUAGGAAUCUGCCUAUUAGUGGGGGACAACAUUCCGAAAGGAAUGCUAAUACCGCAUACGCCCUACGGGGGAAAGCAGGGGAUCUUCGGACCUUGCGCUAAUAGAUGAGCCUAAGUCGGAUUAGCUAGUUGGUGGGGUAAAGGCCUACCAAGGCGACGAUCUGUAGCGGGUCUGAGAGGAUGAUCCGCCACACUGGGACUGGGACACGGCCCAGACUCCUACGGGAGGUAGCAGUGGGGAAUAUUGGACAAUGGGGGGAACCCUGAGCCAGCCAUGCCGCGUGUGUGAAGAAGGCCUUAUGGUUGUAAAGCACUUUAAGCGAGGAGGAGGCUACUGAGACUAAUACUCUUGGAUAGUGGACGUUACUCGCAGAAUAAGCACCGGCUAACUCUGUGCCAGCCGCCGCCGUAACAC